GGGCUUGUAGCUCAGGUGGGAGAGCGUCGUGAAGGAGCUGGUUCGGUCUCCGAUGAACGAAGGUCGCGGGUUCGAAUCCCGCCAAGCCCACCA
rnacentral:tRNA from 1 species